AGGACGAACGCUGGCGGCGUGCUUAACACAUGCAAGUCGAGCGGUAAGGCCUCCUUCGGGGGGUACACGAGCGGCGAACGGGUGAGUAACACGUGGGUGACCUGCCCUCAGCUCUGGGAUAAGCCUGGGAAACCGGGUCUAAUACCGGAUGGGACUGCUUGCCGCAUGGUGGGUGGUGGAAAGUUUUUUCGGCUGGGGAUGGGCCCGCGGCCUAUCAGCUUGUUGGUGGGGUGAUGGCCUACCAAGGCGGUGACGGGUAGCCGG
rnacentral:rRNA from 1 species